CACAGGCUGAUUACAGGGCAUUCUGAACAGCCACAGGGAGUGUGUGUGUGUGUGUGUGUGUGUGUGUGUGUGUGUGUGUGUGUGUGUGUUAGCACAUAGGCAUGGCUCUAAACACAGGCGGUGGUGGCAUUCCUGGCCCUGGGCGCUGCCGCCUCUUGAAGAUGAAGCUUCAAGAAUUCAGGAAAUGUGCACAAGUUUGCCUCUCAAAUGGAGAACGGUGAAAACCAACACAUUUAGCUGAACUGCACCAAUGUUGUCAAGAGGAGUGGUCAACAAUUCCAGCAGAAGCUUGUGGAUGACUACCAAAAGCCCCUUUUUGCAGUGCCAAAACCACCAGUAACUGGUGUACUGAUCACGGGAUUACUGUCCUCGAUUGGCCUGACAACUCCCCUGACCUAAACCCCAAACAGAAUCUGUGGAGUAUUGUGAAGAAGAAGUUGAAAGACACCAGACCCAAUAAUGCAAAGGAGCUGAAGGGCGCUAUUGAAGCAUCCUGGGCAUCCAUAACAUCUCAGCAAUGCCACUAUUGAAGCAUCCUGGGCAUCCAUAACAUCUCAGCAAUGCCACUAUUGAAGCAUCCUGGGCAUCCAUAACAUCUCAGCAAUGCCACUAUUGAAGCAUCCUGGGCAUCCAUAACACCUCAGCAAUGCCACUAUUGAAGCAUCCUGGGCAUCCAUAACAUCUCAGCAAUGCCACUAUUGAAGCAUCCUGGGCAUCCAUAACACCUCAGCAAUGCCACUAUUGAAGCAUCCUGGGCAUCCAUAACACCUCAGCAAUGCCACUAUUGAAGCAUCCUGGGCAUCCAUAACAUCUCAGCAAUGCCACUAUUGAAGCAUCCUGGGCAUCCAUAACACCUCAGCAAUGCCACUAUUGAAGCAUCCUGGGCAUCCAUAACACCUCAGCAAUGCCACUAUUGAAGCAUCCUGGGCAUCCAUAACAUCUCAGCAAUGCCACUAUUGAAGCAUCCUGGGCAUCCAUAACACCUCAGCAAUGCCACUAUUGAAGCAUCCUGGGCAUCCAUAACAUCUCAGCAAUGCCACUAUUGAAGC